CGAUGCCACAUUAAACUAUCAGCUAAACCAAAUUACGAGCGACAUCUAUCAGUCGGUAGCAGUUAUAUAUACGAUUUCGUACUAAAAAACUUCUCAGACAAUUUUGUUCUCGUUUGGCUCGGAAUUUUUUGGAAAAUAUGAUUUGAGCAGUCGUCAAUGAUGAACACCAGGAAAGAGAAAAUACGCCGACCUUUACAGUUUUUCUUAUAGAUAGCUGAAAAUGUGAAUAGUGACCAUAAAGUCCUGGUACUGCCACUCAAGCGCAUCUUGGUUUUGUCGAUCCCGUUCCGGUAAUAUUAUUGUCUAAGAUACACCCCGUUUUGAAAGUCCAAUUAUCGAAAAUAUUGAUAAAAUCAUCGAGCACUACUUGAAACCAUCUUGGAUCGAAUUUUCAUCUGGAAUCGCUGCUGCAUCGUAACAAAAUCGAUCCAUUUCCGAAGUAGAUGGUCAAAAAUGAUAAAAAGAGAGUCACUUAUAGCAACGUCAAGCGGAAAAGAUCGGGGUCAAUUCGCGGUGAGCACGCGCAGUUCUAACUUGGACUAUCAAAACUUGGACCGCCUGAGGGAAUCAAUCCCCUAGAAGCGAUCAGCUUUAGCCAAUAGGGGAGAAAUUGUCUACCAUCAACGCAACGGCAAUCCACACACAUCGAUAGUGACACUCAAGAAGCUCAGAGGUUGGUUGGCGAGUCUACAAACUUUAAAAUAUAAUAUAAAAACAAAAGCCCACCACCACUAUAUUUAUCGCCAUAGUAAAUAAAAUACACACAUAUUCUACUAUAAUCGAUUUAUUGAUUUUGAAUUUCUUGGUGAUUUAUUUUGUGGUGUUAGAGCAGGUUAACAAGGUUUUAUUGCUUAGACUAUUUUUUUUUUGUGUUUUUUGAAAGAAUGUAUGAUGUAUAAUUUCUUCACUUAAAUUAAUAUUAUUUUCAAAUUUUAUUUGAAUCUCAUGAUUUUUUAUGUUUAAAUGUAAUCAUCAAUAUAUUAAAUAAUGACAUUGUAUAAAUGCCUCUAACCGAUUUUAUUACAAUACUUUGUGUGGCUGAUUUUACUCAAUUCAUAUACAAUCUUGCGUGCAUGUUUAUAAGUAUGUAUGUAUGCACCUACAUAUGCACAUAUGUAUAUAUCUAGUUCAAGUUAAUUAUUUUUACGCAAAACAUUAUAUAAUCAAUAUUGUGCAUGUUUAAAAUUUUAUCUUAGAAAAAAAUUUUUUUAACACCCGUUUUAUGUUUCGUAUUGUGCUGAUUGUUUUUAAUAUUGAAGUUUAAUGCUGUCCUUACAGUUGCUGCUUGAUUAAAUGCUAUUUAUUUUACUUUCACUAUUUUUUUUUUGUUAAAAAUGCUGCGGGUGCACGAUUUUCGAAAAUUUAUUACAUUGGGUUAUGAUUAAAUAAAAAAGGUUUACAUUUUAAGAUGUUUGCAUCACUAUGUAAAUAACCAGGAUUUAUGUAGGUAUGUAAUUAUAUAUGUACAUAUAUACGUAAACAUACCUUACAUAUUGUGCUUUUGUAAACUAUUUAAAAUACAAAUAAUUUAUUUGUUUUAAUUAAAAAUAAAUAAUUAAUACUUUGCGAAACGGUAAAAUAUAUUUAUGCAUGCACAUGUGCUAUUUCAAGCAUCUCCAACGCACUUACAUUUUAUUUACUUUGGAGCUUAAAUAUAUAAAUAUAAAUUUAAAAAAGUUUUUUUUAAUUACAUCCGUUAGAAAUCGUUUUUGAGGAAGAAACAUGCAAGUUUUUCAAAAAUAUAUGUAUGUAAUUUAUAUAAUAGAAGAAUAUAUGAUAGUUUUCAAUGAGAGAGAGUUUUGCAUCGUUAAAGAUGUAAUUUGUACAUAAAAAAUAUGUGGAUGAUUAAGAAUUUUUUAAUAUCAAAUAUUAAUAAUUACUGAUUUUUUAACUCUUGAAUUACUACUAUCUGCAUCUUCUGUUUUUCAAAAAAAAGAUAUAUGUUUUUUUUUUGCUGAGGUUUGAAUUUUACGAUACCUUUUUCUUCUACUACUAAAUUACGAUACAAUGCUUCAAUAUUGUAUAUGCUAUUACUAAAAACUACAAGUCUGACUGCAAAUCGUUGUUCUAGCGCUAGUACAUGUGCGACUACACACUCACUACGAUUCUCUCAACUUUAUUAUAUAUGUACUUAUUACUUAUAAACUAAUGUGCGACAUUAAAUUUUUAAUUAAUAUAAUUUUGACUUCGAAAUUCAAAAACACAAACGUGCAUCAACUAUUCUUUGUCAUGAAUUUUAAGAAGCCCGAAGUAUAUUUUUUAGUUGGUAAACGUAUCACUGAUGAUUCCUUUUGCGACAUAAUUGUGCUACGAGAAAGGAGUGACCUGAUUCCAAUACUUAUAAUAUAGUAGCUAUAUCUUGAAAAUGUAGAACAACUCGGGAUGAGAUGACUACAAUGAAAUUAGACAUUUAAACUAAUUUAAAACAGAGCAACAUACCGAAUACGUCGUCAACUUCAAUGUAUCGAAUUUUGAAGUAAAAUUAAACAGAAUAGAGAUUGAAUUCGUCACAUUUUCAAUUAAGUACAGAAACAAGUGCAGGAAAAUGUGUUGGAUUUAAUCUCAUCUAAGAUAUAUAAGUUGUCUAUAAAACAGUAAACUUCUGAAUUUUAUAAUCAUAUAUAUUAUUUUAAUUUUUCUGCUUCAUAUUAGGCAAAUGUCAUUUAAUAACUUUCUUUCGAUGAUUCCACAAACACAUAUCUAACUAUAUGUAUAUAUUCUUUUAAGGCAAUAAAAAAAAAACUCAAAAAUAA